GACGAACCGUGCGAACGUUAUUCGGAAUCAUUGGGCUUAAAGCGCGUGUAGGCGGAUUCGUGCGUCUGUCGCUGAAAUCCCCCGGCUCAACCGGGGAAGUGGCGCGGAUACGACGAGUCUGGAGGGGCAUAGGGGGACCUGGAACUUCCGGUGGAGCGGUGAAAUGCGUUGAGAUCGGAAGGAACGCCCGUGGCGAAAGCGAGGUCCUGGAUGCCUACUGACGCUGAGACGCGAAAGCCAGGGGAGCGAACGGG
rnacentral:rRNA from 1 species